UAAUUCUUUUUGGUUAACUUUUUCUUUAAAACAAUUUUUUUUUAUUUUAAUCAUUUGAGUAAAAUGGGAUUGGGUUUUCAAAUAGUGAAGUAGGUAUCUUGUAUUUUGUUCACUUACCUUUUCUAAAAAAUUAACUAUGUGGCCAGCUAAUUUUUAAGUUAGUUAAAGUAUAAUGCAAAUACCAUAAAAAUCUUUGGAAACUGGUAUGCAGUUUAUAAAAUGUGAUUUCAGAACUGCUUUAAGUUGGAUGAUAAAGUAGAUCUAAUUUGGAGUAAGUUUUCAAGGUUCAAAACAAUUUAAACAGGAUAUUUAAGUUCUAUAACAAGCUAAUAACACUUGAAAUGUAGUCUGAAAGGUAAUUUUGUUAAUUGAUUUGCCAAGUAUUUGCUAAUUGGAAGCCAGAAGAAAAAAAUGUUUUGCCACGUGGAUAUGAAGAUUUCCUCUAAAAAGGCAGACCAGUCUAAACAGAACAAGCCAGAGUUGGGUUUUUCCCUGUAGUUUGAAGAGCCCUACAGAAUGAUUCCUGACAAAAUGCAACCUGCAAUUGCCUGGAGAACAAUUCAGUAUUAUGUUAAAGUUUAUUAUGUAUUUAGUGAAAUAUUGUUCUGUUAGAAGUUGACAACUAUGGUGUAGUUGUCUAGCAUUAGAAAACUAGCCUUUGGGCUGAGUAGUAAAGGUAAGGAGAGCACAAGUAUACAAAGGCCAGUAUUUGGUGUCCAACUAAAAAUAAGAUCAUCAUGUCUACUUGAGUCUUUGCAGAUUAUCCUUUGCCUUAGAGGUUGUUUAGCCUACAUUGUUUUUAAAGUCUGAAUUAAUAUAGUUUUCUGUUUUUAUAAGUUCAGUUCCAGAUGUAAUAUUCCUCAAGAGUUUUAAAGGAUAACUCAAAUGGAUGUAUCCCAUGAAUUUUAAGACAGUAGGAAAAUUGUUAAGGCUUAAUUCUCUUUCCAGUAAUUUGAGCAGGCAUAGCAUUCAGAGGCCUACUUCUGUAUUUGCAAUUUAGUCAUGCUGUUUGAGUUGUUUGCGUUUAAUGUAAACAAAUAAAAUUCCAUAUUUUGAGACUGUUUGUUAAGAAAUUGUCCAGAAUGAGCAUAUUAAAAUAAAAAUUUUAAGGUCA